AGGAGGUACGUAGUGAGCAUGGGGGGUAGAGGUAGAGGUAGAGGUAGAGGUAGAGGUAGAGGUAGAGGAAGAGGUAGAGGAAGAGGAAGAGGUAGAGGAAGAGGAAGAGGAAGAGGAAGAGGAAGAGGAAGAGGAAGAGGAAGAGGAAGAGGAAGAGGAAGAGGAAGAGGAAGAGGAAGAGGAAGAGGAAGAGGCGGAGGCAGAGGUAGAGGUAGAGGCGGUGGGGAAAGUGUUUCAGAUCGAACUCCAGCGAGAAUGCACCACCCGCACGGGUGGAAUCAUCGCAUCAUGCAUACAACGAACCAGACAAGAGAGAAUCCGGUAACAGCCGCCCAACUACUCCAUCACACGAGUGGCCUCCGUCCGGGAAAAGGAACAACAUCUCGCAGCCGAAGAGAUGAGAGGAGCGCAGAGGAACGGGCGUACAUUGCUUUUUGGGGUAACUUGAAGGGAGGGGUAGAACAGUCAUACACGCGAACGGCGCAGGUGUCCGCUGUCCCAGAUAAUUUUUUUAAGUCCGGAUAAUCGAGGUCUCUACAUCGCGUCCUGCUUUAUUUGAGUGAUAAUGCUUCCACUUUAAAGCGGUGAUAUAUAAAUGAGCUACUAUGAUUGCGAAAUGGACGUGAAGGAUUUUAUGUAUUAAUGGAUGUGUGAUCGCCUUGUGUCUGAUGUGUGUCUGUAUGUAUGUGGGUAGGGUGGUAGCUCCUGACGCUCUCCGUCGUGCACCCGCCGUCUUCGUGUACCCUCAUUCAGCCGUGUUAGGCUGUGUGGUAAGGUC
rnacentral:lncRNA from 1 species